GAGAGAGAGAGAGAGAGAGAGAGAGAGAGAGAGAGAGAAAGUUUCAGUGCAGAUAAGACACUUCGGAGCGCGUUGAACUCAUAACGCUCUUAAUUAAGCGAGUUUUAUUACUAUAAUUGUCGCGUAGGCAGAGCAUGCAUUCUUUAGAAUGAUGCAAUUCUCGAGAACGAUACCCCCACCCCUCCAAGAUCUUCGAAUUUAUGAACAUCUGACGCAAUCGCGAUCAAUACUUCUGUGCGCGGAAUAGCCUUUGGAAAAAGAGAUAUAAUACAUUUCUGAUAUACGAAACUGUGAGUAAUGUAAUUUCAAAAACAAAAACAGACGACUGACGUAUCUGGCGCAUCGACGGGAUAUCGAAUGGCGACUCGAUAGGAUAUCGAAUAUUCCGAAAACGAACGGAGCGCAUGUGGCUCCUUCGGUACGUACAAAGAAUUCGUAACGCGAAUUAAAAAAAAUAUCAUCAAACUUUGAAUCAGCAAAAAUAUACGCAGAGAGCUUUUGUCGCGUACAUGCGUUUCACAAGAGGCUGAUGAUAAUUCAAUUUAGCGAGUUACUUUGUUAGGAAAGCCGUCACGUUUCAUCCAGGAAACUUAAAAAUGCAACGUGCGCAUGGAGGAAAAGUCUAGACAUAUUUCCCGAAAUCAUUUAAGACUUCCUCUCCCGCAUUUUUCUUAUGAAGUACAUUACAGCGUGAGGAUCAGAACAGGAAAAUUUUACUGUGGAUUAUUAAGAGACAUAUGCUUGUAAAAAAAAAAAA